rnacentral:rRNA from 1 species
UUUUAUUUGAGAGUUUGAUCCUGGCUCAGGAUGAACGCUGGCGGCGUGCCUAACACAUGCAAGUUGAGCGAUUUACUUCGGUAAAGAGCGGCGGACGGGUGAGUAACGCGUGGGUAACCUACCCUGUACACACGGAUAACAUACCGAAAGGUAUGCUAAUACGGGAUAAUAUAUUUGAGAGGCAUCUCUUGAAUAUCAAAGGUGAGCUAGUACAGGAUGGACCCGCGUCUGAUUAGCUAGUUGGUAAGGUAACGGCUUACCAAGGCGACGAUCAGUAGCCGACCUGAGAGGGUGAUCGGCCACAUUGGAACUGAGACACGGUCCAAACUCCUACGGGAGGCAGCAGUGGGGAAUAUUGCACAAUGGGCGAAAGCCUGAUGCAGCAACGCCGCGUGAGUGAUGAAGGCCUUCGGGUCGUAAAACUCUGUCCUCAAGGAAGAUAAUGACGGUACUUGAGGAGGAAGCCCCGGCUAACUACGUGCCAGCAGCCGCGGUAAUACGUAGGGGGCUAGCGUUAUCCGGA